UCGACAUGUGUGUGUUCUUAAAAAGCAAAAACAAACAGACACAGAAAUGAGUAUGUGUCAUGAUGAGGGCCAUUUCUGCUUACGUUUGCCUAUAAGACCCCCAAACCACCAGGGGGAGACAUUGUUUUUUUUAACAGACGUUCAAAUCACUCCAGGGCUGAGAAUCAGCACAAAAGUGGAGGAGAAAUUGACACAGAAGCACUGAUGGUGUUUAUCAGAGGCCCUCCAGGAGAUGGUAAGAAGUUACUCCUGGGCACCAGCACAGGGUCGGCACAGGAAGCAAACCAGCGGUCACACUGCGAGCACAAGGGCCCAAUCAGUGACGGGUACACCGGUGCCAGAGCCUGAAGUCUGGCCAUGAUCUCAGUGACCAGAAGGGGUGAUCUUUGAGGUCGUGUCUGAGACGUGACCAAAGAAGAGGAGGAAAGCGUAUGAGUGUAGGGCUCGGAGGAAGUCUGCUCUGGUAGACCUCAGCCAGGACAUCAUUAUCUACAGACAAGAUAUCACGUACUUCUG